rnacentral:rRNA from 1 species
AUUACAAUGAAAAAAACCAAUAGGCACCCCCAUACAAGUAAGAAUUAGGUAAAGAGUAAUGAAGUUUUGGGUCUGUACCUUUUGUAUCAGGGGAAUUUAAAAGUGAAAUUAUAAAAGUGUCGAGUCGAUUGGAUCUUUAUUUGAAGCGGUAAUGGGAUUUAUUGAUUUUAGGUAAUAAGAGGUGAAAAGCAGACGACAAUCGUGAUAGCUAGUUGUUUAUAUUUUAAAAGGUAAAGCUUUUAGGGGCCUAUAAGACUCGAGCGUAAAAAUAACUAGGCUUUAAAUUAGCUAAGCUGAUAAAUUGUUUUAAAUAAUUAGGGUUUGGUAGAAAUAUAGGGUUAUAUGACAAUACUAAAAAACUAAGGUUUAUAUAAAUAAUGAAGUUAUUGAAUAGUUAGUGAAGUGGGAAAAGAACUCAAGUUAAGUUAGAUGGUUUAACAAAAACAUUUUUGUCUUAGGGAGAGAAAAUAAAACCUGCCCAGUGCGUUGUAAAUGGCUGCAGUAUUUUGACUGUGCUAAGGUAGCGAAGUCAUUUGCUGCUUAAUUGGUAGCUAGUAUGAAUGGUUAAACUAGUUUUAUCGGUUUGUGCGCUUAAUAGGAAAUUUAAGUAGGGGUAAGAAUUCUUCUGUUGACUAGGGGACGAUAAGACCCUAAAAGCUUAAUUAGUAGAAUACUAGUGGUUAUAGUAAUAAAGUAAUUUCGCUGGGGCGGUGAUAGCAUAUAAACUGCUAUAGGCUUUGAGGAUCCUGAUAUAUUCAGAUAAGAUGGAAAAGUUACUCUAGGGAUAACAGUACAAUAUAUUUGGAGAGGUCAUAUCGAUAAGUAAGUUUGUAACCUCGAUGUU